GACAGACAGUGCGAGCGUUAUUUCGGAUUGACUGGGGCGUAAAAGGGGUACGUAGGCUGCUUAAAUAACUAUGUUCGAAAAAGCUAGAGGAUAACUGUAGACAGGGACAUACCGAUUUUUAAGCUACGAGUUAAGGAGAGGAGAGAAUAACUUCUAGUGUAAGGGUAGAAUCUAUCAAUAUUAGAAGGAAAACCGAAUAGCGAAAGCAUCUCUCUAGACUUAACUGACGCUCGAGGUACGGGAGGCAUGGGGAGCAAACAGG
rnacentral:rRNA from 1 species